GAAGUGAAGAUAUGUACACCUAUACAUUUAUCUUUUUCCACAUGCAAGUAUGCAAAUCAUAGUUAAACAUUGGGUAGAAGCAAAACCGAAUGAUGUGCGUGUACGCGUGUUUGGAAACAAUAUGCACUUAAAUGAUCAUCUUUUAUGUGAAUGAUGAAACAAUGGAUCGAUUGAGAUUUUGACAAAGAUGUGAACGAUUUCUUGGUGUAUGUAAUGCGUGUUACAUAAUACGUUACAUGAAUGUGGUGACUCAGUGAUAUAAGACAAAUAUCACAAUUGGUUGUUUGUGAAGUGGAUAUCUGCCAACCGCUCUCACCUGUGUGUUGGCGGAUGUGGUUAACAAGGUGUUCCUUUCUGGUGAACGAUUUGGAGCAGAAGCCGCAUCGGUGUGGAGACUCACCCGUGUGCUGGCGAACGUGGU